rnacentral:rRNA from 1 species
CAGUCGCCGCGGUAAUACGUAAGUGGCAAGCGUUGUCCGGAAUUAUUGGGCGUAAAGGGCUCGCAGGCGGUUUCUUAAGUCUGAUGUGAAAGCCCCCGGCUCAACCGGGGAGGGUCAUUGGAAACUGGGAAACUUGAGUGCAGAAGAGGAGAGUGGAAUUCCACGUGUAGCGGUGAAAUGCGUAGAGAUGUGGAGGAACACCAGUGGCGAAGGCGACUCUCUGGUCUGUAACUGACGCUGAGGAGCGAAAGCGUGGGGAGCGAACAGGAUUAGAUACCCGCGUAGUCCCUGUCUCUUAUAC